rnacentral:rRNA from 1 species
AGCAGCCGCGGUAAUUCCAGCUCCAAUAGCGUAUAUUAAAGUUGUUGCAGUUAAAGAGCUCGUAGUUGAAUUUCGGGGUUAGUAGGUUGGUCAUGCCUCUGGUAUGUACUAGUCUCACUGAUUCCUCCUUCCUUAUGAACCGUAAUGCCAUUAAUUUGGUGUUGCGGGAAAUUUGGACUGUUACUUUGAAAAAUUAGAGUGUUUAAAGCAAGCUAACGCUUGAAUACAUUAGCAUGGAAUAAUGAAAUAGGACGUUCGAUCUUAUUUUGUUGGUUUCUAGGAUUGACGUAAUGAUUAAUAGGGAUAGUUGGGGGCAUUAGUAUUCAAUUGUCAGAGGUGAAAUUCUUGGAUUUAUUGAAGACUAACUACUGCGAAAGCAUUUGCCAAGGAUGUUUUCAUUAAUCAAGAACGAAAGUUAGGGGAUCGAAGACGAUCAGAUACCGUCGUAGUCUUAACCAUAAACUAUGCCGACUAGGGAUCGGAUGAUGUUAAUUUUUUAAUGACUCAUUCGGCGCCUUAC